CCCCAGCCUGGACCACCGGCCCCACAAUGCUCCGCGACCGGGUGCGCAAAUCUCGGGCGACAGGCUUUGCGAGACUUGUACCGCCCGUGUAGCCGAGUUUGGGUCAUUCUUUCAGGUUUUUUUUGUUUGUCCGCGCAUCUGAGAAGUGGGUAGCAUGGUAAAGAUGGAAGAACUCUUUGUUGUUGUUGUUGUUAUCUGAGCUGGAGCUGCAGCAAUGAUGGAUCCUUUAACCCACUGCAUCUGGCCAGGGAUCAAACCCAUGCCUCUGCAGCAACCCAAGCUGCCACAGUCAGCUUCACCUGCCACAUCACAGCGGGAACUCUAGGGUGGAAGGAUUUUUUUUCUUUUCUUUUUAGGGCUGCACCUGCAGCAUAUGUAAGUUACCAGGCCAGGGGUCUAAUCGGAGCUCAGCUGCCCGUCUACACUGAUGCCUAUGCAGCAACAUGGAUUCGCGCCUCAUCUGCAACCUAUACCACAGCUCUCACUGAGCGAGGCCAGGAAUUGAACCCACGUCCUCAUGGAUAUUAGUCAGGUUCUUAAUCUGAAGAACCACAACAGGACCUCUGUGGGGUGAGAGAAUUCUUUCUGUCCCUAUUUUAUAGGUCUUCUCCCUCUUCUGUGUGCAAAGCACCAGUAAUAAGCCACUGUCAUCACCCUGGUGACCUGGGCUUCCUUUGCCAUGCCUCCUGAAGCUGUCAGCCCUUGGACCAUGUGCAAGGAAAAUCAAAAUGGAGUGGGCAUUAGUAAGAGAGCUCUCCAAAAUGGAGCCAGGAGGCCACUGGGACAAGGACAUGAUGAUAAACCAGUCUCAGUCUGGGCUUCUCUUGGUUCGCUCCAGCCUUGGAUGGGCUUUUCCCCUCACAUCCCAAGAUGACUACCAGAAGUUUCAGAAAUGAUGCUGAGGUUGCCAUCCUGACAUCAUGAGAUGACAAGCACGAACAAAAAUUACGCAUGAAAGCUGGAAAAACAGAAGGAGCAUAAGACUAAAUAAAUCAAUUGUGGCAUUGCUGUGUUAGUAAGAA
rnacentral:lncRNA from 1 species